UCGGCAAAUCAGUCUAUCGCUUUUUUAAAGAGGAAAGUCCGGGCAGUGUAGAGCAUCGUACUUCCUAACGGGAAGGUCUCGAGAAAGGAAUUUUUCGGGAACAGAAAGUGCCGCAGAAAGGAAAACUACCUGAGCGCUUGCGCACAGGAAAAGGUGAAAAGGUGGGGUAAGAGCUCACCGCUUUGACAGCGAUGUUAAAGGCAAGGUAAACCUUACGAACUGAAAGACCAAAUAAACCGAGGAUUGCAGCAAUGCAUAAAGGGCUGCUCGUCCGAUCUCGGAGGGUAGGUUGAUGGAUUCCAAGCGUGAGUUUGGAACAAGAUAAAUGAUAGAUAACUGCGUUGAUUUUCAACAAAGGAGACAGAACCCGGCUUAUGAUUUGCCAUUUUU
rnacentral:RNase_P_RNA from 1 species